rnacentral:rRNA from 1 species
ACUCCUACGGGAGGCAGCAGUGGGGGAAUAUUGCACAAUGGGCGCAAGCCUGAUGCAGCCAUGCCGCGUGUGUGAAGAAGGCCUCGGUUGUAAAGCACUUUCAGUCGUGAGGAAGGUAGUGUAGUUAAUAGCUGCAUUAUUUGUACGUUAGCGACAGAAGAAGCACCGGCUAACUCCGUGCCAGCAGCCGCGGUAAUACGGAGGGGUGCGAGCGUUAAUCGGAAUUACUGGGCGUAAAGCGCAUGCAGGUGGUUUGUUAAGUCAGAUGUGAAAGCCCGGGGCGUCAACCUCGGAAUAGCAUUUGAAACUGGCAGACUAGAGUACUGUAGAGGGGGUAGAAUUUCAGGUGUAGCGGUGAAAUGCGUAGAGAUCUGAAGGAAUACCGGUGGCGAAGGCGGCCCCCUGGACAGAUACUGACACUCAGAUGCGAAAGCGUGGGGAGCAAACAGGAUUAGAU